rnacentral:rRNA from 1 species
AGCGAGGCUGUGAAGCGGAGCAAAUCUCAAAAACCGGUCCCAGUUCGGAUUGUAGGCUGCAACUCGCCUACAUGAAGUCGGAGUUGCUAGUAAUCGCGGAUCAGAAUGCCGCGGUGAAUGCGUUCCCGGGUCUUGUACACACCGCCCGUCACACCAUGGAAGUUGGGGCGCCCGAAGUUGCCUAAGAAAUAAGGUACCUAAGGCGAAACCAAUGACUGGGGUGAAGUCGUAACAAGGUAAC